rnacentral:rRNA from 1 species
CGUGGGUAAUCUGCCUUGGAGAUUGGGAUAACCUGCCGAAAGGCGGGCUAAUACCGGAUACGUUCCACCGGAUUGUGGUUUGGUGGAAGGAACGCAGCUCGUAAGGGUUGCGCUCUAAGAUGAGCCCGCGGUCCAUCAGGUAGUUGGUGAGGUAACGGCUCGCCAAGCCUAAGACGGAUAGCUGGUCUGAGAGGAUGAUCAGCCACACUGGAAUUGAGACAUGGUCCAGACUCCUACGGGAGGCAGCAGUGGGGAAUUUUGGUCAAUGGACGAAAGUUUGAAUUAGCGACGCCGCGUGGGUGAUGAAGGCCUUCGGGUUGUAAAGCCCUGUCGGAGGGGACGAAGUCCCGGUGUAAUGAACCGGGGUGACGGUACUCUCAAAGGAAGCACCGGUUAACUCUGUGCCAGUAGUUGUGGUAAUACAGAGGGUGCUAGCGUUGUUCGGAAUUACUGGGCGUAAAGCGCGUGUAGGCGGUUUGUUAAGUUUCGUGUGAAAGUCCUGGGUUUAACCCAGGAAGUGCGCGGAAAACUGGCAGACUGGAGUGUCGGAGAGGAUGGCGGAAUUCCCGGUGUAGAGGUGAAAUUCGUAGAUAUCGGGAGGAACACCUGUGGUGAAGGCGGCCAUCUGGAUGACGACUGACGCUGAGAUGCGAAAGCGUGGGUAGUAAACAGGAUUAGAUACCCUGGUAGUCCACGCUGUAAAUGAUGGAUGCUAGAUGUCGCGGGUAUUGAUCCCUGCGGUGUCGAUGUUAAUGUAUUAAGCAUCCCGCCUGGGGAGUAUGGCCGUAAGGUUAAAACUCAAAGGAAUUGACGGGGGCCCGCACAAGCGGUGGUGCAUGUGGUUUAAUUCGACCAUGCGAAGAACCUUACCUGGGUUCGAACGGCACUGGAACACGGCAGAGAUGUCGUGGCCCGUAAGGGUCGGUGUCGAGGUGCUGUAUGGCUGUCGUCAGCUCGUGUUGUGAGAUGUUGGGUUAAGUCCCGCAACGAGCGCAACCCCUGCGGUUAGUUGCCAGCGAGUUAAGUCGGGCACUCUAAUCGGACUGCCGGUGUUAAACCGGAGGAAGGCGGGGAUGACGUCAAGUCCUCAUGGCCUUUAUGCCCAGGGCUACACACGUGCAACAAUGGUCGGUAUAGAGGGCUGCAACCCCGUGAGGGUGAGCCAAUCCCAAAAAACCGGCCUCAGUUCAGAUUGCAGUCUGUAAUUCGACUGCAUGGAGGCGGAAUCGCUAGUAAUCGCGGAUUAGUAUGCCGCGGUGAAUACGUUCCCGGGCCUUGUAUAUAUCGCCCGUCACACCAUGGGAGUCAGAUGCUCCAGAAGUGGCUGAGCUAACCCGUAAGGGAGGCAGGUCCCCAAGGAGUGCCUGGUAACUGGGGUGAAGUCGUAAUAAGGUA